GGAAUGAGUGGCGGAACGGGUGAGUACCACGUGGGGAAUCUGCUUAGGGAGUGGGGGAUAACAUUCGGAAACGGAUGCUUAUCCCGCAUAUCUUCUUAGACCGCCUGUUCUAUGAAUGAAAAGACGGCUUUGCUGUCGCUCUUAGAUGAUCCCGCGGCGUAUUAGUUAGUUGGUGGGGUAAAGGCCUACCAAGACAAUGAUACGUAGCCGACCUGAGAGGGUGAUCGGCCACACUGGGACUGAGACACGGCCCAGACUCCUACGGGAGGCAGCAGUAGGGAAUCUUCCACAAUGGGUGCAAACCUGAUGGAGCAAUGCCGCGUGAAUGAAGAAGGUCUUCGGAUCGUAAAGUUCUGUUAUUAGUGAAGAACAAAUCGAGGAGUAACUGUCUCGAUUUUGACGGUAACUAACCAGAAAGUCACGGCUAACUACGUGCCAGCAGCCGCGGUAAUACGUAGGUGACAAGCGUUGUCCGGAAUUAUUGGGCGUAAAGGGAGCGCAGGCGGUUGGAAUAGUCUGAUGUGAAAGCCCACGGCUUAACCGUGGAAGGUCAUUGGAAACUGUCCAACUUGAAUGCAGAAGAGGUAAGUGGAAUUCCAUGUGUAGCGGUGAAAUGCGUAGAUAUAUGGAGGAACACCAGUGGCGAAGGCGACUUACUGGUCUGUAAUUGACGCUGUGGCUCGAAAGCGUGGGUAGCGAACAGGAUUAGAUACCCUGGUAGUCCACGCCGUAAACGAUGAGUGCUAAGUGUUGGAGGGUUUCCGCCCUUCAGUGCUGGAGU
rnacentral:rRNA from 1 species